GACGAACGCUGGCGGCGUGCUUAACACAUGCAAGUCGAACGAGAUCCAACCGGUGGCAACACCGGGAAAGAUCUAGUGGCGAACGGGUGCGUAACACGUGAGGAACCUGCCCCGGUCUCUGGAAUAACAGUGGGAAACCACUGCUAAUACCGGAUAUCUCCUCGGAACCGCAUGGCUCUGAGAAGAAAGGGUUACCGGAUCGGGAGGGUCUCGCGGCCUAUCAGCUUGUUGGUGGGGAAUGGCCUACCAAGGCUCCGACGGGUAGCUGGUCUGAGAGGACGAUCAGCCACACUGGGACUGAGACACGGCCCAGACUCCUACGGGAGGCAGCAGUGGGGAAUCUUGCGCAAUGGGCGAAAGCCUGACGCAGCGACGCCGCGUGAGGGAUGACGGCCUCGGUU
rnacentral:rRNA from 1 species